AUUGAACGCUGGCGGCAGGCUUAACACAUGCAAGUCGAACGAGUGGCGGAAGGGUGAGUAAUGUCUGGGAAACUGCGUGAUGGAGGGGGCUAACAACUGGAAACGGUAGCUAAAACCGCAUACCAUCGAAUGCGCCCAGAUGGGAUUAGCUAGUCGGUGGGGUAAAGGCUCACCUAGGCGACGAUCCCUACCUGGUCUGAGAGGAUGACCAGCCACACUGGAACUGAGACACGGUCCAGACGCCGACGUGAGGCAGCAGUGGGAAAUAUUGCACAAUGGGCGAAAGCCUGAUACAGCCAUGCCGCGUGUAUGAAGAAGGCCGUCGGGUUGUAAAGUACUUUCAGCGGGGAGGCGUUACCCGAAGAAGAAGCCCCGGCUAACUCCGUGCCAGCAGCCGCGGUAAUUC
rnacentral:rRNA from 1 species